GAUGAACGCUGGCGGCGUGCCUAAUACAUGCAAGUCGAGCGAACGGACGAGAAGCUUGCUUCUCUGAUGUUAGCGGCGGACGGGUGAGUAACACGUGGAUAACCUACCUAUAAGACUGGGAUAACUUCGGGAAACCGGAGCUAAUACCGGAUAAUAUUUUGAACCGCAUGGUUCAAAAGUGAAAGACGGUCUUGCUGUCACUUAUAGAUGGAUCCGCGCUGCAUUAGCUAGUUGGUAAGGUAACGGCUUACCAAGGCAACGAUGCAUAGCCGACCUGAGAGGGUGAUAGGCCACACUGGAACUGGAACACGGUCCAGACUCCUACGGGAGGCCGCAGUAGGGAAUCUUCCGCAAUGGGCGAAAGCCUGAUGGAGCAACGCGGCGUGGGUGAUGAAGGUCUUCGGAUCGUAAAACUCUGUUAUUAGGGAAGAACAUAUGUGUAAGUAACUGUGCACAUCUUGACGGUACCUAAUCAGAAAGCCACGGCUAACUACGUG
rnacentral:rRNA from 1 species